rnacentral:rRNA from 1 species
AUACGAAGGGGGCAAGCGUUGUUCGGAAUAACUGGGCGUAAAGCGCACGUAGGCGGAAUGUUAAGUUAGAGGUGAAAUCCCAGGGCUCAACCCUGGAACGGCCUUUAAUACUGGCAAUCUAGAGACCGAGAGAGGUGAGUGGAAUUCCGAGUGUAGAGGUGAAAUUCGUAGAUAUGCGGAGGAACACCAGUGGCGAAGGCGGCUCACUGGCUCGGUACUGACGCUGAGGUGCGAAAGCGUGGGGAGCAAACAGGAUUAGAAACCCUAGUAGUCC